rnacentral:rRNA from 1 species
UACGGAGGAUGCAAGCGUUAUCCGGAAUGAUUGGGCGUAAAGCGUCCGCAGGUGGCUGUGUAAGUCUGCUGUCAAAGAGCAAAGCUCAACUUUGUAAAGGCAGUGGAAACUACACGGCUAGAGUGCGUUCGGGGCAGAGGGAAUUCCUGGUGUAGCGGUGAAAUGCGUAGAGAUCAGGAAGAACACCGGUGGCGAAGGCGCUCUGCUAGGCCGCAACUGACACUGAGGGACGAAAGCGUGGGGAGCGAACCGG